ACGAACGCUGGCGGCGUGCUUCACACAUGCAAGUCGAACGGAAAGGCCCUGCUUGCAGGGUACUCGAGUGGCGAACGGGUGAGUAACACGUGGGUGAUCUGCCCUGCACUUCGGGAUAAGCUUGGGAAACUGGGUCUAAUACCGGAUAGGAGCCAUCUUUAGUGUGGUGGUUGGAAAGUUUUUUCGGUGUAGGAUGAGCUCGCGGCCUAUCAGCUUGUUGGUGGGGUAAUGGCCUACCAAGGCGGCGACGGGUAGCCGGCCUGAGAGGGUGUACGGCCACAUUGGGACUGAGAUACGGCCCAGACUCCUACGGGAGGCAGCAGUGGGGAAUAUUGCACAAUGGGCGCAAGCCUGAUGCAGCGACGCCGCGUGGGGGAUGAAGGCCUUCGGGUUGUAAACUCCUUUCGCUAGGGACGAAGCUUUUUUGUGACGGUACCUAGAUAAGAAGCACCGGCUAACUACGUG
rnacentral:rRNA from 1 species